rnacentral:rRNA from 1 species
UACAGAGGUCUCAAGCGUUGUUCGGAUUCAUUGGGGCGUAAAGGGUGCGCAGGCGGCGCGGUAAGUCGGGUGUGAAAUCUUGGAGCUUAACUCCGAAACUGCAUUCGAUACUGCCGUGCUUGAGGACUGGAGAGGAGACUGGAAUUUACGGUGUAGCGGUGAAAUGCGUAGAUAUCGUAAGGAAGACCAGUGGCGAAGGCGGCGUCCUGGCUCGCAUCUGACGCUCAGACACGGACAGCAUGGGGAGCGAACGGG